rnacentral:lncRNA from 1 species
UGAUCCUCCUGCCUCAGCCUUCCAAAUAGCUAGGACUACAGGCAUGCAUCCCCAAGCCUGGCUAAUUUUUUAAAGAAUUCUUUGUAGAGACAGGGUCUCACCAUCUUACUAAUCGUGGACUCCUGGACUCAUGCAGUCUGCCCACUUCAACUUCCAAAAGUGCUGGGAUUCAGACGUGAGACACUGUGCCUGGCGGACUAUAUUCUUUGAAGGGGAGGAGUGAUGUGUGCUUCAGAUGGCCCCUGAAAGCUGCUUUGCCUGAGGCUCAUUCCCUGACUCUUGAAGAGGACAGUGGACAGUGCUGUUUAAUGGUGGACACAGAAGGAUCAGACCAGGACCUCCCUACAAUAGGGAAGGGAGCUAUGCUAUGCUGUCGACUUGCUGGAGAAGAUGCUUGUAUUGGACUCAGAUAAGAGAAUUACAGCGGCCCAAGCCCUUGCACAUGCCUACUUUGCUCAGUACCACGAUCCUGAUGAUGAACCAGUGGCCGAUCCUUAUGAUCAGUCCUUUGAAAGCAGGGACCUCCUUAUAGAUGAGUGGAAAAGCCUGACCUAUGAUGAAGUCAUCAGCUUUGUGCCACCACCCCUUGACCAAGAAGAGAUGGAGUCCUGAGCACCUGGUUUCUGUUCUGUUGAUCCCACUUCACUGUGAGGGGAAGGCCUUUUCACGGGAACUCUCCAAAUAUUAUUCAAGUGCCUCUUGUUGCAGAGAUUUCCUCCAUGGUGGAAGGGGGUGUGCGUGCGUGUGCGUGCGUGUUAGUGUGUGUGCAUGUGUGUGUCUGUCUUUGUGGGAGGGUAAGACAAUAUGAACAAACUAUGAUCACAGUGACUUUACAGGAGGUUGUGGAUGCUCCAGGGCAGCCUCCACCUUGCUCUUCUUUCUGAGAGUUGGCUCAGGCAGACAAGAGCUGCUGUCCUUUUAGGAAUAUGUUCAAUGCAAAGUAAAAAAAUAUGAAUUGUCCCCAAUCCCGGUCAUGCUUUUGCCACUUUGGCUUCUCCUGUGACCCCACCUUGACGGUGGGGCGUAGACUUGACAACAUCCCACAGUGGCACGGAGAGAAGGCCCAUACCUUCUGGUUGCUUCAGACCUGACACCGUCCCUCAGUGAUACGUACAGCCAAAAAGGACCAACUGGCUUCUGUGCACUAGCCUGUGAUUAACUUGCUUAGUAUGGUUCUCAGAUCUUGACAGUAUAUUUGAAACUGUAAAUAUGUUUGUGCCUUAAAAGGAGAGAAGAAAGUGUAGAUAGUUAAAAGACUGCAGCUGCUGAAGUUCUGAGCCGGGCAAGUCGAGAGGGCUGUUGGACAGCUGCUUGUGGGCCCGGAGUAAUCAGGCAGCCUUCAUAGGCGGUCAUGUGUGCAUGUGAGCACAUGCGUAUAUGUGCGUCUCUCUUUCUCCCUCACCCCCAGGUGUUGCCAUUUCUCUGCUUACCCUUCACCUUUGGUGCAGAGGUUUCUUGAAUAUCUGCCCCAGUAGUCAGAAGCAGGUUCUUGAUGUCAUGUACUUCCUGUGUACUCUUUAUUUCUAGCAGAGUGAGGAUGUGUUUUGCACGUCUUGCUAUUUGAGCAUGCACAGCUGCUUGUCCUGCUCUCUUCAGGAGGCCCUGGUGUCAGGCAGGUUUGCCAGUGAAGACUUCUUGGGUAGUUUAGAUCCCAUGUCACCUCAGCUGAUAUUAUGGCAAGUGAUAUCACCUCUCUUCAGCCCCUAGUGCUAUUCUGUGUUGAACACAAUUGAUACUUCAGGUGCUUUUGAUGUGAAAAUCAUGAAAAGAGGAACAGGUGGAUGUAUAGCAUUUUUAUUCAUGCCAUCUGUUUUCAACCAACUAUUUUUGAGGAAUUAUCAUGGGAAAAGACCAGGGCUUUUCCCAGGAAUAUCCCAAACUUCGGAAACAAGUUAUUCUCUUCACUCCCAAUAACUAAUGCUAAGAAAUGCUGAAAAUCAAAGUAAAAAAUUAAAGCCCAUAAGGCCAGAAACUCCUUUUGCUGUCUUUCUCUAAAUAUGAUUACUUUAAAAUAAAAAAGUAACAAGGUGUCUUUUCCACUCCUAUGGAAAAGGGUCUUCUUGGCAGCUUAACAUUGACUUCUUGGUUUGGGGAGAAAUAAAUUUUGUUUCAGAAUUUUGUAUAUUGUAGGAAUCCUUUGAGAAUGUGAUUCCUUUUGAUGGGGAGAAAGGGCAAAUUAUUUUAAUAUUUUGUAUUUUCAACUUUAUAAAGAUAAAAUAUCCUCAGGGGUGGAGAAGUGUCGUUUUCAUAACUUGCUGAAUUUCAGGCAUUUUGUUCUACAUGAGGACUCAUAUAUUUAAGCCUUUUGUGUAAUAAGAAAGUAUAAAGUCACUUCCAGUGUUGGCUGUGUGACAGAAUCUUGUAUUUGGGCCAAGGUGUUUCCAUUUCUCAAUCAGUGCAGUGAUACAUGUACUCCAGAGGGACAGGGUGGACCCCCUGAGUCAACUGGAGCAAGAAGGAAGGAGGCAGACUGAUGGCGAUUCCCUCUCACCCGGGACUCUCCCCCUUUCAAGGAAAGUGAACCUUUAAAGUAAAGGCCUCAUCUCCUUUAUUGCAGUUCAAAUCCUCACCAUCCACAGCAAGAUGAAUUUUAUCAGCCAUGUUUGGUUGUAAAUGCUCGUGUGAUUUCCUACAGAAAUACUGCUCUGAAUAUUUUGUAAUAAAGGUCUUUGCACAUGUGACCACAUACGUGUUAGGAGGCUGCAUGCUCUGGAAGCCUGGACUCUAAGCUGGAGCUCUUGGAAGAGCUCUUCGGUUUCUGAGCAUAAUGCUCCCAUCUCCUGAUUUCUCUGAACAGAAAACAAAAGAGAGAAUGAGGGAAAUUGCUAUUUUAUUUGUAUUCAUGAACUUGGCUGUAAUCAGUUAUGCCGUAUAGGAUGUCAGACAAUACCACUGGUUAAAAUAAAGCCUAUUUUUCAAA